AAAAAGAGGCUUAAGACUGAAAUCGGAAAAAAGACUAAAAUCGGAAAAAAUAGAAUCUUCUGUGUUGAAUUCAAUUAUUCUGGCGGAACCAUAAUAAGAAAAACAGGUUGGUAUCUGGCUUAAGCAUUGCUGGAAGGAUAGGUGAUGCCAGUGUUGUUAUGUCACAAUUGAAACGGGCUGGGUUCAGUCUUGAUACAUAUGAGGCAGUUAUACAUUCAUUCAUAUUGUAAUUUGAGCUAUAAGUUAAAUGCUUAAUCGUAUAAAUAGUAAUUUUUUUCUCUUUAUAUAAUAUAUUCAAGAUUAGAUUACACGAUGCAAAUACAUUUUUUAAUACCAUAAAUAAUACAAAUGACAUCAAUUUAUGCAAUAGAUUUUGAGUGUAGUUUACAAAUCCUUAAAAGAACUGAUUUUUUACUAUAUAAAUUAUUUUAUUGUAAUUGUUUAUUCACGGCUAUUAUGGUAAAAAAUGUGUUGACAUUCCUCAAUUAGGAUAAGAAAGAAUCUUAGAAAACAUGUUGGGGACAUUGAUGCUGGAGCAGUCUCACGUGGUUUUGGACGUGCAAUUGGCAACAAGGAAUAAACAGAUCUUCAAAGAAAGAAGAAAUCAACCAAGAAAUUAUGCCCCGGCUUCUUAAUGUGCCAAAAGAUGUGUUCCUAUCUGCAAAAUUUCAGACGAUGAUUUUUGAGGUAUUUGUAUUGUGCUAAUGCUAACAUAAUUUUCUGCUGCAAUUUCCCCUGUUUUUGGAGACCUGGUUGUAAACGAAGUAGCUGUUUCCUAGUAAAAGUGGAUAACUCAAUUUCCAAACCAUUUUUCUACAAGAUGUUGAAUAUAUUGUAUUAUUUCCUGCAUCAGAGCAUAGCUGGGUUUCUGAUGUGAAGGAAGAAUGUCAAGAUCUGUAUCAGAGAAUGAGAAAUAGUG